AUGGCCACCGGCGUCUUCUUUGGCAUGGCUCUUUGUCUCCUGUGGGCAGGAUACAUGGAUGCUGGAAUUUUCCAGAGCCCAAGAUACAAGGUCACGGGGACAGGAAAGAGGGUGACUCUGAGGUGUCACCAGACAGACAACUAUGACUAUAUGUACUGGUAUCGACAUGACCUGGGACAUGGGCCGAGGCUGAUCUAUUAUUCAAAUGGUAUUAACAGCACUGAAAAAGGAGACCUCUCCAAUGGGUACACAGUCUCUAGAUCAAACAAGAUGGAUUUCUCCCUCCUACUGGACUCUGUUACCUCCUCCCAGACAUCUGUGUACUUCUGUGCCGACAGUUACUCCACAGCACUGCACAGCUGCCUCCUCUUCAUACAUAAAGGACAGACCUCAGGGCAGGAACCAAAGCUGUUGAUUUACUUCAGCAAUAAAGCUCUUAUGGAUGACUCGGGGAUGCCCAAGAAAUGGUUCUCAGCAGAGAUGCCUGAUGAUUCAUUCUCCAUCCUGGAGAUCCAGCCAACAGAACCCAGGGACUCAGCCACGUACCUAUGUGCCAGCAGUGUAGACACAGCACUGCAGAGCAACCCUUUCCCUGUGCAGAAACCCUGA